rnacentral:rRNA from 1 species
UACGAAGGGGACUAGCGUUGUUCGGAAUUACUGGGCGUAAAGGGCGCGCAGGCGGCCGAUCAAGUCAGAUGUGAAAGCCCCGGGCUCAACCUGGGAAUAGCAUUUGGGACUGGUCGGCUAGAGUUCGGGAGAGGAGAGUGGAAUUCCCAGUGUAGAGGUGAAAUUCGUAGAUAUUGGGAAGAACACCGGUGGCGAAGGCGGCUCUCUGGACCGACACUGACGCUGAGGCGCGAAAGCGUGGGGAGCAAACAGG